UGGGGAAUAUUGCACAAUGGGCGCAAGCCUGAUGCAGCCAUGCCGCGUGUAUGAAGAAGGCCUUCGGGUUGUAAAGUACUUUCAGCGAGGAGGAAGGCGUCGUACUUAAUACGUGCGGCGAUUGACGUUACUCGCAGAAGAAGCACCGGCUAACUCCGUGCCAGCAGCCGCGGUAAUACGGAGGGUGCAAGCGUUAAUCGGAAUUAGCUAGGGCGUAAAGCGCAUCGCAGGCGGUUUGGUCAUGAUCCGGAUGUGAAAUCCCCGGGGCUCACCUGGGUAACAUGCAUUCGAAACGGGCAAGCUAGAGGUC
rnacentral:rRNA from 1 species